GUGAAACCAGACAGAAUCACAAAACUGUGUUCAAAGUUAACUGAUAGAUUAAUAAAUACAAUAUAAUUAAUGUUAUAAUAUAUACAUCUGAAAUAUAAUUAACUUUACUUGUUGAUCUGUUGAUUAUGUUUUGAAUUAAAUCUAAUCAAUUUGUAGUUGAUAAAACAGAAUCAAGUAAUGAUUUACAAACUUCAGUCAUGCAGUCUGGGGAAGUAACCGACACAUCACAGUACAGAGCGGCAGGAUGCCUCACCAGAUCUACAGACUGUCCUUUCUUUCACUGCUCGGACCCCUGCUCACUGUUUUGGUUUUAGAUCUACUCCUGACACACCCUUGUAGAGGUCAUUCUCAGUUAAUUGGUCCACCUCGAUCAGUACUGGCAGGAAUUGGCGAUGACAUCAUUUUGCCAUGUCACCUAAAACCUGCAAUGGACGUUAAUGCAGAGACGAUAGAGUGGACCAGACCUGACUUGGAGGAAAGCUUCGUCCACGUGAGGCAUUAUGGUCACAAUGUAGAACAUGUAAAGAAUCCAUUGACUGGAACUACUUAUAUCAAGGACUAAUAGACACCCUGCAGCCAAUCAGAAUCGAGUAUUCCCCCAGACCAAGGACCAGUAACAGGAAUAAGCCUCCACUGACCUGGUGUUGAAGGACCUGGAGCUCUGAAGACAAACUGCAGGUCUCCCUCAUCAGCAACACUGGAGAGAUUCAAUACAACUUAGAUCGUAUUAACUAAAAGAUAAUAAUUUUCACGGAUGUCACAGCAUUACACACUGUCAUCGCCUGCUGAAAAGCCCUGAUCUUCAUCUCUGCUCCUCCUACUUCCUACCUGACGGAGGCUCCAGCCAGAGUAUCUCACCACCCUCAACUGUAUAUAACUUACACAACAACUCUUUGCAUUCAGCUCCAGUGGCUGCAUCGCUGUCCACUUUUGGGUCCUACAAACACUAUCAGUUGUCUACUCUAUUUCUUAAUGUUUUUAUUAUAUUGUUUAAUACUUUUACUAUUUUUUACUAUUGUUAUUGUUUUUUUCCGUAUUAUUCUGAUCUUUGGCUGCUGUGGCAAACUCAUUUCCCCAUUUGUGGGACAAUAAAGGAAUACUGAUUAUGAGUUGUAACAAAUAUAUAUUUAAAACAGAAAAAAACACUGUUCAUCAAGGCAAAAUUUCAUUCUGAAAUAUAAAAUGUAAAAUCAAAAUGUGAGACGAUGCAGCUGACUGGACUGAAUAUUCACAUUUUGUGUAAUUCUAAGUGUGAUGACACACAAAUGUUUACAGCUGUUGUAUCUUUUGUUCAGAGUGAAGAUAUUUUUGUUAUCCUGUUUUGUGUUUGUAAUGCAGUUUACACUGUCACUUUGGAACAUUACUUUUUCAGAACUGCAGAAUUAAAAUCAAUAAUUGAUUUCUCCCAAGAUGCUGAUGUACAUCUUUCUCAAUGCUGAAUAUGAAAAAUAAGACAACUUGAAAAUACCAACUUCCAAAUAUGUUGUUUACUUGUAUUUGUGCAGUGUUUUGUGAGUUUCCUGACCUGCGACCCCUCGCCUUCAGGUUUUGCUCUCUAGAGAAAUGUAACAGUGUGAAUAAAGAAUAUUAAUAAUA